GGUCAAAUCUUGUUAAAUCUUAGUGGCGGACGGGUGAGUAACGCGUGGGCAACCUGCCUCAUACUGGGGGAUAGCAGUUGGAAACGACUGAUAAUACCGCAUAAGCGCACAGCAUCGCAUGAUGCAGUGUGAAAAACUCCGGUGGUAUGAGAUGGGCCCGCGUCAGAUUAGCCAGUUGGCAGGGUAACGGCCUACCAAAGCGACGAUCUGUAGCCGGCCUGAGAGGGCGGACGGCCACAUUGGGACUGAGACACGGCCCAAACUCCUACGGGAGGCAGCAGUGGGGGAUAUUGCACAAUGGAGGAAACUCUGAUGCAGCGACGCCGCGUGAGUGAAGAAGUAUUUCGGUAUGUAAAGCUCUAUCAGCAGGGAAGAAAGGCUCGUAAGAGAGAUGACGGUACCUGACUAAGAAGCCCCGGCUAACUACGUGCCAGCAGCCGCGGUAAUACGUAGGGGGCAAGCGUUAUCCGGAUUUACUGGGUGUAAAGGGAGCGCAGACGGUCAAGCAAGUCUGAAGUGAAACCCCACGGCUCAACCGUGGGCUUGCUUUGGAAACUGUUUGACUAGAGUACUGGAGAGGUAAGCGGAAUUCCUAGUGUAGCGGUGAAAUGCGUAGAUAUUAGGAGGAACAUCGGUGGGCGAAGCGGCUUACUGGACAGCAACUGACGUUGAGGCUCGAAGGCGUGGGGAGCAAACAGGGAUUAGAUACCCUGGUAGUCCACGCGGUAAACGAUGAAUACUAGGUGUUGGGUGUCAUAGACAUUCAGUGCCGUCGCUAACGCAGUAAAGUAUUCCACCUGGGGAGUACGUUCGCAAGAAUG
rnacentral:rRNA from 1 species